GUUUCAGGCCGGCUGUAGCAGGACGGACACAGUGGGGCAGAGCAGCCCACAUCACAGCAGCCAGGAAGCAGAGAAGCUGAGAAUAAAGGAAGGAUGGAGGUGAGGGAAGACUCGGAGACUUUGAGGGGACAAGGAAUUAGCAAAAGAUGAGGCAGCAGUGGUUCCUGCAGAAGGACUGUUUCCCUGCUGGCCAGGAAGCCCACAGGAGCCCAUAUCACUCCUGGGGUGGUGGUUCUGGGUACUCUAAGAAAGGAAGCUGAGCAAGCUAUGGACAUCAAAUCAGUAAGCAGCACCCUCCAUGGCCUCUGCAUCAGCUCCUGCCUGUAAGCUCCUGCUCCGAGUUCUUGUCUUGAUUUCCUUUGAUGAUGGACUGUGAUACAGAAGCAUGAAGUAUAAGCAAAAUAAACUCUCUCUUCCCCAA